GGCGCUAUAGUGUAGUGGUUAUCACUCGGGAUUUUGACAAAUUCUAAUUUCCCGAAACCCAGGUUCGAACCCUGGUAGAGCCU